AACGAACGCUGGCGGCAGGCCUAACACAUGCAAGUCGAACGCCCUAGCAAUAGGGAGUGGCAGACGGGUGAGUAACACGUGGGAACCUUCCCAAUAGUACGGAAUAGCCCAGGGAAACUUGGAGUAAUACCGUAUACGCCCGAAAGGGGAAAGAUUUAUCGCUAUUGGAUGGGCCCGCGUCGGAUUAGCUAGUUGGUGAGGUAACGGCUCACCAAGGCGACGAUCCGUAGCUGGUUUGAGAGAACGACCGGCCACACUGGGACUGAGACACGGCCCAGACUCCUACGGGAGGCAGCAGUGGGGAAUCUUGGACAAUGGGCGCAAGCCUGAUCCAGCCAUGCCGCGUGAGUGACGAAGGUCUUCGGAUUGUAAAGCUCUUUUGGCGGGGACGAUAAUGACGGUACCCGCAGAAUAAGCCCCGGCUAACUUCGUGCCAGCAGCCGCCGUAA
rnacentral:rRNA from 1 species